GGAGCCCUACUCUAGACCUCGCCGAGUUGGCACUUGAUUUCUCAAAUUUUCUUUUCGAGCUCUUCCUCCUGACAUAAUUUUUCAGGCCUAGGGGAGUAGCCUAGAGUUGAACCUUCAUAGGAGGAAGAGGGCCAUUAUUGAUCCUCCCUCAGACUCUAAUGGGAGGAUGAUUGGGGUGCAGAAGCAGGAGCAAAGUGGAGGUACCGUUGGAGACAAGCUCCGAACUCUGUAAGUGAGAUCGUCAGCUACACU
rnacentral:lncRNA from 1 species